AAGGCCCCGCCGGGGGCAGCGGGGGGCUGGGAUCCCGGGGGAGGGGUGGGGGGGGAUGAGGACGCCGGGAUGGGGGUCCCCAGCCGGCCCCGCAGCCCCCCCAGCUCCCUGCCUGCCUCUGCGGGCACCGCAGGGCGAGCCCCGGGCGAGGCUGACCCCGCAGAGGCCGUGCCCCGGCCGGAGACGAGCAGCCCCCCCCGCAGCCCUCCCCGCAGCCUGGCCGCCGAGAUGCUCGCCCUCAGCCCUUGGCUCCUUUUUCCAGCCGUGCUGCCCCAGAGCAUCCGCAGGGGCAGGCGAUCGCUGUCCUCCUGUCCUCCCACCGGGGAGGCAUCGGCUGCCUGGCACCCUGUGGAAGCGGCACCCUGCGAGGCAGUGACGUCCCAGGAGAACCUUUUCUCCGGGAACCCGUCAGAAAGCUUGCGGUGAAUUACCUGGCUCCUGCAUCCCUCUGAUGUGUUGUUCCCUGUUACGGCCUAAACAUGCACGCCUGGGGAACGGAGGCUUUCAUAAAACCAACAGGACUGCACUUGUAGCCGUAGCGUGCUAAGCAGAGAGAAUAUUAUUCACGAAUCCUUUGUUACCAUUAUCAUACCUAUUAGCUAACCCCGUCAGCGAGGGAAGUUUAAGUGGCAAUAAAAGUUGCAAUCCUAUCAUAAGCAGCAAUUACAUUCCAGAUACCAUUCAAAGCAGUACUGAAUGCGACUUGCUGCAAACGUUACGUGUUUGCAAUGUUACGUGUUGGAAAUCCUAAGUGCAAGGCUGGGUCAGAUUACUUGACAGAAAAGGUUCGUGAAGUUGAUUUCCUGGACUUCUGCAAACUCGAAUGAAUAUUGGAAGUCCUUCCCCUAACUUCAGGUUUUAAUAUUGCUAUUUUUAAAUAAAGAAAUCGGUGAGGUGAACGUGCUGAGAGAAAUUGCAUCUGUCACGUAUAGCGUGGCUUCCUGUGACAAGAAUGGUGUUGUGCUCGUGUCACAGAUAAAUGUGUUCAGAGUGGUAAUAUUCAGCGAAAUAAUAUUGCUGAGAGAAUGAACGCAAGCUCUUUGAAACAGCACAAAUGAACGUUACAGCCUUCCUUAGCCUCUAGACAGCUUGAUAGGUGAAGUCAAUUUAAAAUGAUGUUUUGUUGCACUGGAAACUCUGUUGGAUAAAAGCACUGAAACUAAACAAAAAAAAGUGUGUAAAAAAUAAUACUGGUUUCUAAGGA